UUGUGACGUCAUCGCCGCGGGGCGGGGCCGGCGGGGUCGCAAAGAGCUGCGAGUGCAGUGACGCCGGCUGCCGGCUCCCGAGAGCGAUCCCGUGUCCCUGGCCCCCCUUCGCGUGGUCUGUUCGCGUCGAGUCCCGCGCGGAGAUGGCAGACGACCUUGGAGACGAGUGGUGGGAGAAGCAGCCGGCAGGAGCAGACAGCAGCCCAGAUCAAAUGAUGGACCUGAUGCUCCCUGAGUAGAUGUGAGCUUGGCCAAGCCACAUGACUAUUCCAUACUUCAGGAUCUUCAUAUACAAUGUGAGUGGUGGGAAGUAGAUUGUUCACAAGAUCAGUUCUAGUACCACAAUU
rnacentral:lncRNA from 1 species